AUUGAACGCUGGCGGCAGGCCUAACACAUGCAAGUCGAACGGUAGCACAGAGAGCUUGCUCUCGGGUGACGAGUGGCGGACGGGUGAGUAAUGUCUGGGAAACUGCCCGAUGGAGGGGGAUAACUACUGGAAACGGUAGCUAAUACCGCAUAACGUCGCAAGACCAAAAGAGGGGGGGACCCUUCGGGCCUCUUGCCAUCGGAUGUGCCCAGAUGGGAUUAGCUUGUAGGUG
rnacentral:rRNA from 1 species